UACGGAGGGUGCAAGCGUUAUCCGGAUUCACUGGGUUUAAAGGGUGCGUAGGUGGGCUGGUAAGUCAGUGGUGAAAUCUCCGAGCUUAACUCGGAAACUGCCAUUGAUGCUAUCAGUCUUGAAUACCGUGGAGGUCAGUAGAAUAUGUCAUGUAGCGGUGAAAUGCUUAGAUAUGACAUAGAAUACCAAUUGCGAAGGCAGCUGGCUACACGAAUAUUGACACUCAGGCACGAAAGCGUGGGGAUCAAACAGG
rnacentral:rRNA from 1 species